UCAGGCCUAACACAUGCAAGUCGAACGGUCCUUUUCGGAGGAUAGUGGCGGACGGGUGAGUAACGCGUGAGAAUCUGCCUUCAGGAUUGGGAUAACGUCUGGAAACGGACGCUAAAACCGAAUGUGCCGAGAGGUGAAAUAUUUAUAGCCUGAAGAUGAGCUCGCGUCAGAUUAGCUAGUUGGUAGUUUAACAGACUACCAAGGCGACGAUCUGUAACUGGUCUGAGAGGAUGACCAGUCACACUGGGACUGAGACACGGCCCAGACUCCUACGGGAGGCAGCAGUGGGGAAUUUUCUGCAAGGGGCGAAAGCCUGACGGAGCAAUACCGCGUACGUUAAAAGGGCUUUUGGGUUGUAAACCUCUUUAUCAGGGAAGAAU
rnacentral:rRNA from 1 species